rnacentral:rRNA from 1 species
GACGAACGCUGGCGGCGUGCCUAAUACAUGCAAGUAGAACGCUGAAGGAGGAGCUUGCUUCUCUGGAUGAGUUGCGAACGGGUGAGUAACGCGUAGGUAACCUGCCUGGUAGCGGGGGAUAACUAUUGGAAACGAUAGCUAAUACCGCAUAAUAGUAGAUGUUGCAUGACAUUUGCUUAAAAGGUGCAAUUGCAUCACUACCAGAUGGACCUGCGUUGUAUUAGCUAGUUGGUGGGGUAACGGCUCACCAAGGCGACGAUACAUAGUCGACCUGAGAGGGGGAUCGGCCACACUGGGACUGAGACACGGCCCAGACUCCUACGGGAGGCAGCAGUAGUGACUCUUCGGCAAUGGAUGGAAGUCUGACCGGGCAACGCCGCGUGAGUGAAGAAGGUUUUCGGAUCGUAAAGCUCUGUUGUAAGAGAAGAACGAGUGUGAGAGUGGAAAGUUCACACUGUGACGGUAUCUUACCAGAAAGGGACGGCUAACUACGUG